GACGAACGCUGGCGGCGUGCUUAACACAUGCAAGUCGAACGGAAAGGCCCUGCUUUUGUGGGGUGCUCGAGUGGCGAACGGGUGAGUAACACGUGAGUAACCUGCCCUUGACUUUGGGAUAACUUCAGGAAACUGGGGCUAAUACCGGUUAGGAGCUCCUGCUGCAUGGUGGGGGUUGGAAAGUUUCGGCGGUUGGGGAUGGACUCGCGGCUUAUCAGCUCUUUGGUGGGGUAGUGGCUUACCAAGGCUUUGACGGGUAGCCGGCCUGAGAGGGUGACCGGCCACAUUGGGACUGAGAUACGGCCCAGACUCCUACGGGAGGCAGCAGUGGGGAAUAUUGCACAAUGGGCGGAAGCCUGAUGCAGCAACGCCGCGUGCGGGAUGACGGCCUUCGGGUUGUAAACCGCUUUCGCCUGUGACGAAGCGUGAGUGACGGUAAUGGGUAAAGAAGCACCGGCUAACUACGUG
rnacentral:rRNA from 1 species